GACGAACGCUGGCGGCGUGCUUAACACAUGCAAGUCGAACGGUGAACCUCUUCGGAGGGGAUCAGUGGCGAACGGGUGAGUAACACGUGGGCAACCUGCCCCCGGCUCUGGGAUAACUCCAAGAAAUUGGGGCUAAUACCGGAUGUUCACCGCUUCCCGCAUGGGUGGUGGUGGAAAGGGUUUCCGGCUGGGGAUGGGCCCGCGGCCUAUCAGCUUGUUGGUGGGGUAGUGGCCUACCAAGGCGACGACGGGUAGCCGGCCUGAGAGGGUGACCGGCCACACUGGGACUGAGACACGGCCCAGACUCCUACGGGAGGCAGCAGUGGGGAACAUUGCGCAAUGGGCGGAAGCCUGACGCAGCGACGCCGCGUGGGGGAUGACGGCCUUCGGGUUGUAAACCUCUUUCAGCAGGGACGAAGCGCAAGUGACGGUACCUGCAGAAGAAGCACCGGCCAACUACGUG
rnacentral:rRNA from 1 species